GCUACCCUGGCACUGAUACCACGGAUGCAGAAGAAGUGGGAAGCUGCUACUGAUAGUCUGCUACUUUUACUGCUUUCUCAACCAGCCCGUGAGGCCGGGGGUGAGCCUCAAAGAUUUUGUCUUCUGGAUCCCGGCGUCUGGCUUGGAUGAGCCCAACUUGCUCUGGGGAUGAGUCAGGGAGGGAGCGUGACUGGGUGGCGCACCUGUUCACCCAUAAUGCAGGUGUGUAAGGCAAGCUCAGGUAGAUCAGAAACCUCCCCCAGAGAGAAAGGACCCAAAUUUGCCUGCUACUGAUUUCCAGCUUCAAUGCAGCACAGCCUCACAAUCUGUCUAGAUCCUGGGGCUUUGAGCAGAUGGCAUCAG
rnacentral:ncRNA from 1 species